GCUGUGCUGGGGGAGAGCAGGCUCAUCUGCUCUGGGGCGGUGCUCUGGGGAGGCGGUUUCCGUGAUUCUUAAAACCAGGAAAGAAGCGGUGAGUAGGUAGCCUUGAGCAAGGCAACUCUGCUCCCUCGUGCAUUGGGCUCCUCUUGAGCAGACAGGAUGACAGUAGCUGCCUCUCAGGAUUACUGACUGGGGUUAGUCCUGAGAUCGAUGUGGACACCACAACCAGGGGUGUCACCAUCACCAAACAAGCAAAGCAAAGCAGUGUCCUCAAGACAGAGCCAAAAGGCAAAGAAAAGGAUCAUACUCACGGACAAUCCUCUCCAGCUCCAGAAAAUCCUGCUCUGUCGAGCCAUGCCCUUCCUAGAGACAAGCCGCCCGUGCCACUACCCAGAGGACCCCAGAGGGACAUGGAAGGAAAAUGCAACAACACAAACAGCCUUUGAGGGGCUUUUGCUCAGUUCCAAAGGGGUCAUGCCAUUUGGCAACUGAAUCUUUGCACACUUUCUGAAAAAGACGGUUUUAGAAAUAAUUUAAUUAUGUAAUAAAUCGCUUAAUGAGCAUGACAAACCA